rfam:Neolentinus lepideus HHB14362 ss-1 unplaced genomic scaffold NEOLEscaffold_71, whole genome shotgun sequence.
GGCCGUAUAGUGUAGUGGUUAUCACAUCGGAUUCUGAUGAAAAGUAUUUAUUGCUUUCCGAUAACCCAGGUUCGAGUCCUGGUACGGCCU